UCCUGGGUUCUGUCCCGGCUCUGGGAGGGGAGUGGGGUCCAGGACUCCUGGGUUCUGUCCCAGCUCUGAGAGGGGAGUGGGGUCCAGGACUCCUGGGUUCUGUCCCAGCUCUGGGAGGGGAGUGGGGUCCAGGACUCCUGGGUUCUGUCCCAGCGCUGGGAGGGGAGUGGGGUCCAGGACUCCUGGGUUCUGUCCCGGCUCUGGGAGGGGAGUGGGGUCCAGGACUCCUGGGUUCUGUCCCAGCUCUGGGAGGGGAGUGGGGUCUGGGGGAUUAGAGCGGUGGGGCUGGGAGCCAGGACUCCUGGGUUCUCUCCCCAGCUCUGGGAGGGGAGUGGAGGCUGGUGGUUAGCGCAGGGGGGGCUGGAAGCCAGGACUCCUGGGUUCUGUCCCAGCUCUGGGAGGGGAGUGGGGUCCAGGACUCCUGGGUUCUGUCCCAGCUCUGGGAGGGGAGUGGGGUCCAGGACUCCUGGG